rnacentral:SRP_RNA from 1 species
GCCGGACGCGGUGGCGCGCGCCUGUAGUCCCAGCUACUCGGGAGGCUGAGAUGGGAGGAUCGCUUGAGCCCAGGAGUUCUGGGCUGUAGUGCGCUAUGCCGAUCGGGUGUCCGCACUAAGUUCGGCAUCAAUAUGGUGACCUCCCGGGAGCGGGGGACCACCAGGUUGCCUAAGGAGGGGUGAACCGGCCCAGGUCGGAAACGGAGCAGGUCAAAACUCCCGUGCUGAUCAGUAGUGGGAUCGCGCCUGUGAAUAGCCACUGCACUCCAGCCUGGGCAACAUAGUGAGACCCCGUCUCU